AUGUAAACAAGUCCUGUUUGCCUGACAGCACUGCCACAGUAGGUACAGCAAAUACCUUAUCCUGUACGUAAGAGAAAAUACCUGCAGCAAGAGAAGAACAUUCCACCAAUAUCCAGAAGAUCGCCUUUUCUGGAUGAAUCGCCGCUCGGAAUGGAGACAUUUCGCAGGCUGCCUGGUUUAGGCUGCGGUGUAUGUGGUGUACCUUUGUCUCCUUGUCCGUCUCCAGCUACCCCAUUUCAUGCAUUUACUGAUCUGGUCCCAGUGGUCUGCAGGUCAGUGCUGCUGUCUGUGUCCCACCCUCACUUCACAAGACAACAACUUGAAGCACAACUAAAAAGUGGAGAGAUUGAGCGCACGCUGGGGUUUUCACACAAGACGGAGGAAGAGGAUGGAUGGCAAGAGUGGGAACACUUUCCUGCGUUGGUUGGUAAUGGUCCUAGAAGUGAGUCAAGACCACGCCUACCUCAUCAGAAGACCACUCCUGGCUUCUUUAUAGACAUUCCACAUUUGCAGAGACAGCUGGUUGCAGGACAACAAAAAUGGAAGCAGCCCUUUGUCAGACCUGCUGACAUAAAGUCAUCUAAGACGCUAUCAGCCUCAGCUUUCCAAAUGGCAAAGAGGGAACUUCCACGUACAAAUACCAAGUUAUCCAACAAAGCCAUAAAUGUGCUAUUUCCUCCAAUUCUCGACCUGUGGGCACAGAAUGACGCAAUGCAGAGGUCCAUUACUUUGCGGAUAUAACGCAUCGUUCCGUGUCAUCUUCAGAAUGCAGAGACAAUUUUAUACAAUUACAGAUAGAUUUGUUAUUGGUGAACAAUGAAAAAGAAACAGUUAUUGUCGUUUUGCUGAGUGAGGCGUGCUCUGAUGAGCGGAGACCGCACACCGCUGGCAGCAAUAUAUAGCAUAGACAUUUCUUAUAAAUCUAGUAUAUAAUGUGCAGCGUUUGUGCAUUUACAGCAUGUAAGAAAUGUAGAGUGUGGAAAAAGUGGCGACGUGGGUCAGGCUCAAGCUUAAGUGGGUCACUGUGACACGUUUCAUGCAGUUAAAAAUAGAACUGUUGUUUUUAUUGCUUUCUGACACACAAAUAUUUGUAUUUAAUAUUGUAACAUAAAUGGGUCUACAUUAUAAAAAGCA